CAGUAGCCGCGGGAAUACAGAGGGUGCGAGCGUUAAUCGGAUUUACUGGGCGUAAAGCGUGCGUAGGCGGCUUCUUAAGUCGGAUGUGAAAUCCCUGAGCUUAACUUAGGAAUUGCAUUCGAUACUGGGAAGCUAGAGUAUGGGAGAGUAUGGUAGAAUUCCAGGUGUAGCGGUGAAAUGCGUAGAGAUCUGGAGGAAUACCGAUGGCGAAGGCAGCCAUCUGGCCUAAUACUGACGCUGAGGUACGAAAGCAUGGGGAGCAAACAGGAUUAGAUACCCCCGUAGUCCCUGUCUCUUAUAC
rnacentral:rRNA from 1 species